ensembl:lncRNA
CUCAAGCCAGCCGCAGCUCACUCUAGACCACGGUUCACUCUAGGCUUCCGGCCUCUGCUCACUCAAGCCGACCGCAGUGUGUGACGUUGUUUCGUUGAGAAAGUGAAACUACUUUGUUUUUGCCUUCCAAAAUAAAACACAACUAGAAAUCAUGUUUAUAUCACCUUUAUAAUGGGUUUUAUGUUUUGUCUCAUCGCUCCGCCAUCACAAUAUGUUAAGAGGUGUAACAUUUCUGUCUCACGCUUGAGGCAUUCGGCCAAUCACAACGAGCUGGAUAGCUGGCCAAUCACAGCACACCUCGCUUUUCAGAGAGAUGAGCCUUGUGAAAAUCGAUGCGUUUCAGAAGGCGGAGCAUAGAGGAAAAACAAUAAUGUACAGUAUGUGGAAAAUAAUGUGUUUUUUUUUAACCUUAAACCGCAUAAACACAUUUCAUUACACCAAAUACACAAAAAAAUGUUCUUUUCCACAGCAUCAUAUGACCCCUUUAAGGUUAGUCAGAUUUAAAGCAAUUCCUAAUAAUAAGCAUUUUUUAUUGGUUCCCUUGAAAAGUUGCUAGUUUAGGUAUUUAGAAUGGUGAUUUUCAGUUUAUAUGAAAUAAGGUUUGUGGUUAACAUUACUUGAAGGGGGUUUCAUGCUUUAUUCAUUCAUAAAUGCAUGUUCCAGUGUGACUGAAUAACUUGAAAUAAUGUUCUUUCUUAGGAGUUGGCGAUAGUGGAACACUACCAGGAACCAAACCAUUAAAACCUACAGGUACUUCAUGCCAUUCACUUAACUCUUAUUGUCUCUAUAUAUUUGGGCAAGCAGGUGCUUUUUCAUUUGUAAAAAGAUUUAUUAUUAUUACUGUAGGCAUUGGACGUGGAGAUACUCCGGGCACCAUUGAAGGAGGACCUGGAAGUCUAGGUGGUGGUCCAUGUGGGGUUGGUGGUGAGCCAGGUGGAGUUCCGGUAGGGGUUGGUGGUGGUCCAGGUGGAGUUCCGGGAGGAGUUGGUGGUGGUCCAGGUGGAGUUCCGGGAGGAGUUGGUGGUGGGGCAGGUGGAGUUGGUGGAGUUCCAGGAGGAGUUAAACCCCCUUUAGUUUACAGCGUUACAGGUGGAACUGGAGCUCUUGGAGUUGGAGGUGUAGGUGGAACGGGUCCAGCUGGAGUGGGAGGAGUUGGACUUCUGCCAGGAGGUGAAGCUGAAUAAAGUGCACUUAAAAUUGACAAAAGAAUGUAAUUAGCUUGUGCCUAUGUAUAAGGAUUUGUAAAUCUAUUGUAGGUUAUGAAGGAGCAGGAGGUUUAGGAGCUGGUGGGAUCCAACCAGGAACUGGUAAAAAAAAAAUUAAAUAAAAAAAACCCAAAAAAAACA